CUCGUAGGCGGUUUGAUAAGUCGGGUGUGAAACCUCCAGGCUCAACCUGGAGCCGCCAUUCGAUACUGUCAUGACUAGAAUUCGGUAGGGGACCACGGAAUUCCUGGUGUAGCGGUGAAAUGCGCAGAUAUCAGGAGGAACACCAGCAGCGAAGGCGGUGGUCUGGGCCGACAUUGACGCUGAGGAGCGAAAGCGUGGGGAGCGAACAGGAUUAGAUACCCUGGUAGUCCACGCCGUAAACGUUGGGCACUAGGUGUGGGGACUAUUCAACGGUUUCCGUGCCGCAGCUAACGCAUUAAGUGCCCCGCCUGGGGAGUACGGCCGCAAGGCUAAA
rnacentral:rRNA from 1 species